rfam:Oryza nivara chromosome 10, whole genome shotgun sequence.
AAAAAGACAAACCAUAGGUUUCCGUGCCAAUAUUUGACUGUCUGUCUUAUAUGAAAUUUUUUUAUAAUUAGUAUUUUUAUUGUUGUUAGAUGAUAAAACAUGAUUAAUACUUUAUGCGUGACUUAACUUUUUAAAUUUUUUUUAUAAUUUUUUUAAAUAAGACGGACGGUCAAACGUUGGACACGGAAAUCAGGAUUUGUCUUAUU